rnacentral:rRNA from 1 species
UACAGAGGUCCCAAGCGUUGUUCGGAUUCACUGGGCGUAAAGGGUGCGUAGGCGGUCGGGUAAGUCUGAUGUGAAAUCUCACAGCUUAACUGUGAAACUGCAUUGGAUACUAUCCGGCUCGAGGAAUGGAGGGGAGACUGGAAUACUUGGUGUAGCAGUGAAAUGCGUAGAUAUCAAGUGGAACACCAGUGGCGAAGGCGAGUCGCUGGACAUUUCCUGACGCUGAGGCACGAAAGCCAGGGGAGCAAACGGG